GUAGGUGAACCUGCGGAAGGAUCAUUAACACGUGAUACUCACGUAUUAACACAACCACCGUGAAUUUGUUUCUAACCUAUUGUUGAUUGUAUAUAGAUUAUAUAUGGGGAGUGCUAUUGGCCGCCUUUCGGAUUUCGACUGGACUUUCCUAAUCGAUCGUUGCUUCGUUAUUGUCUGUACGCCAUAACCUAUAUAGUCGUUCUAGGUCCGCCCUGGAGUGUGCACCAACAAAUAGAUGAUGUAAUUAUGA
rnacentral:misc_RNA from 1 species